rnacentral:rRNA from 1 species
AGUGAACGCUGGCGGUAGGCCUAACACAUGCAAGUCGAACGGCAGCACAGUAAGAGCUUGCUCUUACGGGUGGCGAGUGGCGGACGGGUGAGGAAUACAUCGGAAUCUACUUUUUCGUGGGGGAUAACGUAGGGAAACUUACGCUAAUACCGCAUACGACCUACGGGUGAAAGCAGGGGAUCUUCGGACCUUGCGCGAUUGAAUGAGCCGAUGUCGGAUUAGCUAGUUGGCGGGGUAAAGGCCCACCAAGGCGACGAUCCGUAGCUGGUCUGAGAGGAUGAUCAGCCACACUGGAACUGAGACACGGGCCAGACUCCUACGGGAGGCAGCAGUGGGGAAUACUGGACAAUGGGCGCAAGCCUGAUCCAGCCAUACCGCGUGGGUGAAGAAGGCCUUCGGGUUGUAAAGCCCUUUUGUUGGGAAAGAAAAGCAGCAGGUUAAUACCCCGCUGUUCUGACGGUACCCAAAGAAUAAGCACCGGCUAACUUCGUG